UGGGUGUUCCUGUCCCCGUGUCCCCUGUCCCUGUCCCCACCCUGGUGCCAAAUCUCAAUGUCCCCAAACCGUGUCCUUGUCCCUGUCCCUGUGUGUGUGUCCCCAUCCCUCUGUCCCUGUCCCUGUGUCAAUCUCAAUGUCCCCAAACCGUGUCCCUGUCCCUGUCCCCAAACCCUGAUGGUGUCCCCAUGUCCUUGUCCCUGUGCCAGCGGCCUGGCCGGGCCUGAGGCCCUGUCCCCAUCCCUGUGUCCCUGUCCCUGUGUCCCUCUGUCCAUCCCUGUCCCCAUCCUGUUGUCCCUGUCCCCACCCUGGUGCCAAUCCCGAUGUCCCCGUGUAAAUCCCAAUGUCCCCAGGCCCUGAUGGUGUCCCCGUGUCCUUGUCCCUGUGCCAGAGGCCUGGC
ensembl:lncRNA